rnacentral:misc_RNA from 1 species
UAAUAAGUGCUUUAUGGCACUUUUUAAAUCCAUAUCCACCUUGUGUGCAAUGUCAGUCGAUCUUCUUCAUGGAGAUCGACCAAACAUCAACCUUUAUCUUUUAACUCUUUGUCUGAAAAAUAUUAUGAAUAAACAAUUCAAAAUA